CCUCCCCGGACCAUCCCAGGCCAAUCCCUCGGCGGCUCCAAGCCGUGGCGCUCGCUUCGUGGGAGCUCCCCAAGCAGCAGGUAUCGUCCUCCCUCCUCGCCCGCCGCCGCCGCCGCUUCUUGGGCCGUUCACUCGCCCCCUCCGUGGACGCCCACCAGGGGGGAUUACUGCACAGAGUGUGAACAGCUGUUAGCGUCAGAUGCUUGCUAAUGGGUGUCUGUGAACCGAAGAAGCAAACUGAUGUUUAGUCCUGAGAGGCUUACCUGAUUACAGCUUUUUGUUCGUCGCAGGACUGAAUUAUUUGCAGAAAUGAUCUGCGAGGCACGCCUAACUGACUGGGUUCGCCUGGCAGUGCUAGCACAGCCAUGGCCACCAGAAAUAUGGCUGUUCUCGGGGGAAAAAUUGUAAUAUUAGGACUGCAAACACUGACCACUCGUGAAUUUGCCACUCCCAGUGAAUGACACGGUGGGACCAUCUGUGCCUAUGAAAUGUGGGGCCAAUGGAAAAACUGCAAAUGCCAAUGUUUGCGGUCCCAUUUUUGCAAAUUUCUCGUUCUCGGGAGCUCUGGUGUUUUGUUUUCUCCAUGGACACCACUCUCAUCCAGGCAUAUUGCACUACUUUUAAGUUUUAACUUGUUGGCAACAUUUUUUAAGAGGGAUGGCAAAGCUCAAUUAAAAUCACCUGAAGAAAAGGAGGUAUGUUUUUUAAACAGUUAAUUUUUUAUGUUUUUAUUGUUCUCUUGAAUAGGCUGAGAAGGAAUGAUUGGUUGGAUAUGGACUCGCUUGCUUAGUGGGAACCAUGGCGUUCGAACUGCUAGGCAGUGGUUAAAUCAUGUGCUACCUACUGUUCUGGUAUUGCUCAGGUGAGCAGCACCGCACUCAAUUGUUAAAUGUUGGGGUACCUGAAUCUAUACAAAUUUGACUUGGAUAUUUCGGAUUUACCUACAAAAUGAGUUCAUUUGCUGGAGGCCAUGUUACAGAAAAUUUAAAUUUGAGGCCCUUCUUUUCUUGCUGUCCUGGCUUUCUGUUUCAGAAAUGACUUGAGGACGUUAUCUGCUGUCGAACACUCUUUUUUUGUUGCUGUGGAUUUUUCUCGAUAACACUGGAAAUUAACCAUUUGGACACUGUCAAAUUGAGUACAGUUGAUUGGUGUUCUACAAGGCUACAACAAAUUUGGAGCCUUUGCUGUAGGACACUAAUAAUAUAAUGUCUCAGAUAAAUCCAUUAAAAUGACAGUUCCUGCUGGUUAGUUUCCACUAUAAAAGUCUCUUUGAGUAAAAUUCACUAUUUAUAAGUGUCCCACUGUAAAUUUUUCUUUACUAUAAUGAUUACAUUGGUGGGUUAUGGUUGCUACAUAUUUGUUGUAACAUAACUGAAAUUGCAACUUAUUGUCAACAUGUACUCUGGCUUGAGCAGACUAUUUUGAAAUAUGCUAUCUCUUCUUUUGUUUGUGGUCUAAAUUUUAUAUGGAUCACGAUUUCAUAACUUGUUUAUAGAUUUGUAAUCAAUUAACUGCUUUAUGAAUAAUUCCUAAAUCUUUGAUAAUUGUUAUAUAGUUCAUCUAUACAUUUAGACUUAGAAUUUGCAGAAGUAGUUUGAUUUUUGUUGCUUUUACUUCAUAAAAUCUUAUAUUUAACCCUAAAAGAUACACGCUUUCAAAAAAUACACUUAACUGGACCUGUGAAUUUGUGUUCAGUAUCAUUGGAAAUCUACUAUUCUUGCAAGUUCUAAUUGUAUCAUCUUUCGAUAAUUAUGCCCUUGGCUAAUCUUCAUGGAUAAAAAUUGCAGGAAAAUAUUUGUACUUGGUGCUCUAGUUGUUUAUUGUGCCAAGUUCUGAUAACUUUAGGGACUAAACUGCAGCACUACAGUUCCAUAGCAUAGCUGUUUUGCUGCGGGCUGGGAGCUUUAACUUGAUUUCAUCUUUGGACACAUGACCCAAUGGUUUCUAUGGCUGUUGCUGGAAGCAAGUGUGGAAUGGAUACUCGAUGGUCAGCCUUACACCUAUAAUACCUUCCUCAACUCUUUGGAUUUAUUUUAUCUCCUUUAUUUUGCAUCUUUCUAUGUUUCUUCUUUUGCAAGGCCUAAAUUCCAUUUUUGGUUACUUAUAGAAAAUUUUCUCCCUUUUAUUUGCUGGAUAUAGCUUGCAUCUAGGAAUGGCUUUGAGGAUGGCUUGGAAAAGAUUCCUUCACGAUGUUUGCCAAAGAGUACUAACAAUCUCAACAAUCUGCAAACUUUAGUAUUUAAUUAGGUUGAUUAAUAGACCCCAAACAAAGCAUCUUGAUAGAUCCUAUACGUAUUUUUGUAGAUCAAUGAACAAACAAGCAUACGCUGUGGCUUAAGCUAGUGCCAGCCUUUGGGCUAUAGAAUCCUCUACCAAAUAAGUAGCAUAUUUGUUGGAUGCAAGCUGUGUAUCUAUUAUUUCAGGAUGGCAAUUUCCCCGUGGGGGAUGGAUCCCCGCGGGGAUCCGACCCAGCAGGAAUGGGGCUUCAUUUCAACCCGUGGGGGAAACGGGGCGGGGCCGGGGGGAUGAUUUCCCUCGUGGGGCUCCACGGGGCUCCGAGUUCACGACUCGUGUUCUGGCUCAUCAAUGAAUGCAGCCCAAUAGUCCAACGAAAUCAUAUAAAUACUUCUUGGAAACUCUAGGCUAAUCGGCGUGACCACUGACCGCUGCAGACCGUUGGCCGCCGCACUCCUCUCCAUUCCUCUUUGUCUCUCCCAUCCUCUACUCUUUCUGCCUCCAUUAUUGCCAUCAGUGAGGCGGCGGCUGCCCGAGGCUCAAGCGGCGGAGCGGGGAUGCGUGCAGCCUUGCGCGCCAGUUGCCUGCUCGGCGCAUCGGCCGUCAUCCGCCACCGCUAGCAGACUAGCAGCCGCACCUGCUCACGACGAUCCGCGUGAGGCUCCAGGCCUCCAGCGGCAGACCAGACAGGGAUGGGAAGGCAGCUUGUGCAGUUGUGCUCGAUCUUUUAGCUUGUUAGUUUGUGCUACUUGUUAGCUGACUCGAUUUGUUAAUUUGUAUACUCGAUCUAUGACUAUGUACUUAGCCCGCUUUUAGAUCUACGUUCUCAUACAUUGGAUUUUGGUUGAUCUGAUCCUUUGAUCUGCUAGUUGUUUGCUAUGUGGUAGGUCCGCACGGGGACCCGUUGGGGUUCGGGGAUCCAUCGGGGCCGGGGACGGGGCAAGUUUUUUCCCCGAUUGGAAUUUCGGGGCCGGGGGAUGGGUAACUUCCCCCCGUCACGCCCCACCCCGUUGCCAUCCUGACUAUUAUUAAAUACAUAGUAGAUACGACAAGAAUUUAUGUAGCAUAUCUCAUGAGGUUAUCAACGGUAAGUUUCACCGAUCUUGUGGUGAACCUUGUAUAUUUGGCGUCAAUUAGACAGGUAGGAAUCAGAAUACAUAGAAAGAUAAUAUUCAUGAACUCUUCUACUAAAUAAAUGAGUAGAGUUAUUGAGUAGAUUUAAGACAAAUCUUUCUGGAUUCGCUGGUAUUAAUUGGGCACCUCCACUCCGCCCUAUAAAAGGAGCCUCCUUCGCACCGAAUCAGAGACAACCUUCAGUCUGGUCUCUGGUGUCUGCAAUGGACAACCUUAAUACCCAUUCUGAACAGGCCAAUCAACCUCAGGGACAACAAGCAAAUGGCCUUCCUUUGGAUAUACCAACAAGUCAGGUCUUAGAUAGUCAUAUGAUUGAACAACAGAGCAGAAAUCAGACGCCGCAAUUGUUCUCCCUUGAGCAGCACAGGCUGCAGUUGGGUCAGGUUCUCCAACUCUGCAACGAGCAGGUUCAGGUGUCGCAGCAGCAGGAAAUUUCUAUACAGAAUGCAACUCUAUCAAAUGUUCUGACAACCGAUGUGCUGCUCCUGAACGUUGAAGAGAUAGCCAGCAUGCGCUUAGAGUUGCAAAGGAUCCGAGAGGAUCAAGAAACUUCACGGCAUGCUUGGGAUCAAUUGCUGCAUCUUGUUGUUGCUGUGUAUGAAACGAAGGAGGCACUUAUCAGAAUGAUUGCUACGUUGCAGCAGGAAAGAAAUUCGCAUGUUUCAGGCCCUGGAGAUGAAGCAUCAAGUGUGGUGAGAACCGCAGCAGAGACAACCAAUACUGAUCGUACUUGUAUGGUUUGCAACUCUGGUGGUGCCAGUAUGAUGUUGCUGCCGUGCAAGCACCUCUGCACCUGCAAGCCAUGUGCAGUCCAUCUCAGGGCUUGCCCUAUCUGCGGUGCUCUGAAGAAUGAUGCGAUCGAGACCCCAUUCAUAUGAGAAAUCAAGAAACAAUAGCAGUGAUGGGAACCUGUUGUUUCUGAUGUGCCUAAUAAGAGCAUGUGUGUUUUCGUCUUCUUUUUAUGUUCAAGUGUGUUGGAGCCUUGGUUUGUCUUCCUUUCUUGUAUGUUGUUCUGUGGUAGUCUUCAUAUCAACGACAUAUUUCUGUUUUCUCAAUAUUUCAUAUUUCCUUUUCAUUUGCCA